UAAGGGCGUUUGGUGAAUGCCUUGGCAUACAGAGGCGAUGAAGGACGUGGCACGCUGCGAUAAGCGUUGGGGAGCUGUGAGCAAGCUUUG
rnacentral:rRNA from 1 species